rnacentral:rRNA from 1 species
GACGAACGCUGGCGGCGUGCUUAACACAUGCAAGUCGAACGGUAAGGCCCUUCGGGGUACACGAGUGGCGAACGGGUGAGUAACACGUGGGUGAUCUGCCCUGCACUUCGGAUAAGCCUGGGAAACUGGGUCUAAUACCGGAUAGGACCACUGCCUGCAUGGGUGGUGGUGGAAAGCUUUUGCGGUGUGGGAUGGGCCCGCGGCCUAUCAGCUCGUUGGUGGGGUGAUGGCCUACCAAGGCGACGACGGGUAGCCGGUCUGAGAGGGUGACCGGCCACACUGGGACUGAGAUACGGCCCAGACUCCUACGGGAGGCAGCAGUGGGGAAUAUUGCACAAUGGGCGCAAGCCUGAUGCAGCGACGCCGCGUGAGGGAUGACGGCCUUCGGGUUGUAAACCUCUUUCAGCACCGACGAAGCGCAAGUGACGGUAGGUGCAGAAGAAGGACCGGCCAACUACGUGCCAGCCGCCGCCGUAAUAC